rnacentral:tRNA from 2 species
UACCCCAUCGCCAAGUGGUAAGGCAUCAGGCUCUGACCCUGACAUUCCGUAGGUUCGAAUCCUACUGGGGUAACCA